CCUACGGGGGGCUGCAGUGGGGAAUAUUGGACAAUGGGCGAAAGCCUGAUCCAGCCAUGCCGCGUGUGUGAAGAAGGCCUUCGGGUUGUAAAGCACUUUCAGUGGGGAAGAAAGCCUUGGGGCUAAUACCCUCGAGGAAGGACAUCACCCACAGAAGAAGCACCGGCUAACUCCGUGCCAGCAGCCGCGGUAAUACGGAGGGUGCGAGCGUUAAUCGGAAUUACUGGGCGUAAAGCGCGCGUAGGCGGUCUGAUAAGCCGGUUGUGAAAGCCCCGGGCUCAACCUGGGAACGGCAUCCGGAACUGUCAGGCUAGAGUGCAGGAGAGGAAGGUAGAAUUCCCGGUGUAGCGGUGAAAUGCGUAGAGAUCGGGAGGAAUACCAGUGGCGAAGGCGGCCUUCUGGACUGACACUGACGCUGAGGUGCGGAAGCGUGGGUAGCAAACAGGAUUAGAUACCCUGGUAGUC
rnacentral:rRNA from 1 species